rnacentral:rRNA from 1 species
AUACGGAGGAUGCGAGCGUUAUCCGGAUUUAUUGGGUUUAAAGGGAGCGUAGGCGGGAGCUUAAGUCAGCGGUUAAAUGGUGCGGCUCAACCGUGCCCUGCCGUUGAAACUGGGUUUCUUGAGAGUGCAAGAGGCGGAUGGAAUUCAUGGUGUAGCGGUGAAAUGCUUAGAUAUCAUGAAGAACUCCGAUUGCGAAGGCAGUCCGCUGGGGCACGUCUGACGCUGAUGCUCGAAGGUGCGGGAAUCAAACAGGAUUAGAUACCCUGGUAGUCCGCACAGUAAACGAUGGACACCCGCGGUUUGGCCUGUAUGGCUGAGCCGCCAAGCGAAAGCGUUAAGUGUCCCACCUGGGGAGUACGCCGGCAACGGUGAAACUCAAAUGAAUUGACGGGG